rnacentral:rRNA from 1 species
AUUGAACGCUGGCGGCAGGCCUAACACAUGCAAGUCGAGCGAGCGGCGGACGGGUGAGUAAUGUAUGGGGACUGCCCGAUAGAGGGGGAUAACUAAUGGAAACGGAGGCUAAUACCGCAUACUAUCGGAUAACCCGAAUGGGAUUAGCUAGUGGGUGGGGGAAAGGCUCACCUAGGCGACGAUCUCUAGCUGGUCGGAGAGGAUGAUCAGACACACUGGAACUGAGACACGGCCCAGACUCCUACGGAGGCAGCAGUGGGGAAUAGUGGACAAUGGGCGCAAGCCUGAUGCAGACAUGCCGCGUGUGUGAAGAAGGCCUUAGGGUUGUAAAGUACUUUAAGCGGGGAGGCGUUACCCGCAGAAGAAGCACCGGCUAACUCCGUGCCAGCAGCCGCGGUAAUAC